ACUUAAUGAUUUGGGUGUUGAGCAAGAUUACCAUUAAACCUCUCCCAAGCUUCAAAUAAUAGUUCUUCAUUCAUUUGUCGAAAAUUAAUAAUCUUAUCCUGCUUUUGAAGU
rfam:Capsicum annuum cultivar Zunla-1 chromosome 10, whole genome shotgun sequence